rnacentral:rRNA from 1 species
ACGAGUGCUUCAAGCGUUGUCCGGAAUCAUUGGGCGUAAAGGGUGUGUAGGCGGUUAUGUUAGUCUUCCGUAAAAUUCUUCGGCUCAACCGGGGGCUCGCGGGGGAAACGGCAUAACUUGAGGAUGGAAGGGGUCUCUGGAACUCAUGGUGUAGCGGUGAAAUGCGUUGAUAUCAUGGGGAACACCGAAAGCGAAGGCAA